rnacentral:rRNA from 1 species
CCGCUCAGGAUGAACGCUGGCGGCGUGCCUAACACAUGCAAGUCGAGCGAGAAGGUAGAGAGUGAUUCUUCGGAUGAGUGAUCUACCGGGCAGCGGCGGACGGGUGAGUAACGCGUGGGUAACCUGCCUUAUACUGGGGGAUAACAUUCUGAAAAGGAUGCUAAUACCGCAUAAGCGCACAGCAUCGCAUGAUGCCGUGUGAAAAACUCCGGUGGUAUAAGAUGGACCCGCGUCUGAUUAGCUAGUUGGUGAGAUAAUAGCUCACCAAGGCAACGAUCAGUAGCCGACCUGAGAGGGUGAUCGGCCACAUUGGGACUGAGACACGGCCCAAACUCCUACGGGAGGCAGCAGUGGGGAAUAUUGCACAAUGGGGGAAACCUAGAUGCAGCGACGCCGCGUG